UUGUCGUUGAUAUAGUUAUUCUCGUUGUUGUCGCUGUUGUCGUCGUCGUUGUUGUUGUCGUUGUUGUCGCUGUUGUUGUCGUUGUUGUCGUCGUUCUCGUCAUCGUACUUUGUUGUUGUUGUUGUCAUUGUCGUUGUUGUUUUUGUUGUUGUUUUUGUCGUUGUCGUCGUCGUCGCCUUCGUUGUUUUUAUCGUUGUUGCCAUUGUUGUCGUUGCUGGUGUUGUUGUCGUUGUUGUCGUUGUUGUCGUCGUUGUUGUUGUUAUCAUUGUUGUCGUUCUUCUCGUCAUUGUUGUUCUUGUCAUCGUCGUCAUUCUCGUCGUCGUCCUUGUUGUUGUUGUUGUN
rnacentral:lncRNA from 1 species